ensembl:lncRNA CASC15 cancer susceptibility 15
CUUUAUAGGCUGGGAGGUCACAGCUCUAUCCCCGUUCAAGACUGCACCUCCUUUUUUCUCUCUUCCUUCCCAGGAGCUGUGGAGUCCAAGUGUGACUGCCAAGAGGAAUCCAGCAAAGCCAAAAAGCCCAAGCAUGUAGCCCUGCCCGAAGCACGCCACACGCAUGGAAAACCCAGAGGAAAUGAGUGAGGAUCAAUGGGAAGAAGAGAGCCAGCCAGGUUCGAUGCCUUCUCCAUCCGUCAGUGAGGGUGUGGAGAGCCUGCAGGCGUGUGCCUCCCUCUGUAACUUGCUAUUCCUUGUGUAAUGUCAAGUGGAAGUGUGAAGCACCACAAACUGCUCUGAGCAGAGCCCACUUCCCUUCACCCACGGAGAGCGUGAAGCAGUUACACCAACAUCAAUCAAGGAAAACCCACAGGCUGAGCUCACACGGUUGAAGCAGGAAGUUGAAGAUUUGUCCAGGAGCAGAUAGCUGAAGAGAGAGAGAGAGAAGAGAGAACGGCUUACAGCUCAGGUCCUCUCUCCAUGCUUAGGAACCACUACAAAUGCUACUGCCUUGAGUCUCAUUUUGUUUCCCUCUGGAAACCACAUGUGUACCUUGUUUGCAACAGUAUGGGUAUGGAUGUUUUGGUAGUUCUUACACAUUUAUUUUAAAAUUUAAAGAAGUAGUGCCAUAAAGCUUUAUCAGGAUGUAUUUAAAAUGAAAA